AGCAGUAGCCGCGGGAAAACAGAGGGUGCGAGCGUUAAUCGGAUUUACUGGGCGUAAAGCGUGCGUAGGCGGCUUCUUAAGUCGGAUGUGAAAUCCCUGAGCUUAACUUAGGAAUUGCAUUCGAUACUGGGAAGCUAGAGUAUGGGAGAGGAUGGUAGAAUUCCAGGUGUAGCGGUGAAAUGCGUAGAGAUCUGGAGGAAUACCGAUGGCGAAGGCAGCCAUCUGGCCUAAUACUGACGCUGAGGUACGAAAGCAUGGGGAGCAAACAGGAUUAGAUACCCCAGUAGUCCCUGUCUCUUAUAC
rnacentral:rRNA from 1 species